UUUUUUUUUUGUCAUAAAUAAUAAGUUUAAUAUCGGAAAAUCAAUAGUCACAAAAAUCACAAAGCGCUAUCAGUAACUUCCCCAGGAUUCUCCAGAGCGCUUUUUCUCUCGUUAAUGGCAUUGGCAAGCUUCCUAUAAGGUCCAAGUGGAUUAGAUGGUGAAUUAGCCAGCAGUCUUUUAUGGUAAAGAGAUUUACUUCAAAAUAUAGUAAGUCGCGUAGUACAAGGAUCAUAUUAGUAUUAUAUACAGGGUGAGCCGGGAGGAACGCACAAAACUCCAGGGCUGGAUGUUGCUUAAAGGAAACCUUUACACACGCAACCUACAUGCUGCGAAUGCAUUUUAUUGGCACUCUCUAUAGGUGUGCCCCGACCAAAAAGGCCGAGGUGCUUGGGGUCUCCAGGGGUCCGACACUUCGACGAUGUAAAUCACACCGCGAUUACCACCUGGUGCUCCGCUGCGCCCCACGGGGUGCGGCAAAAGGGGUCCUCCAAUUUACUAGCCUGAGGUUUUCGAAGUUUAAAUGCCAAUUUAGUUUAUGGGACGCGAUAUUUUACCUAUGGAUUGGUGCAGAAUAGGAGCCCUAGAUCCUUCAAAAUUCUAAACAUUCCAUAUUCUCAUUACUUUUACACUAAAUUUACUGAAUGAUUAUAUAUCUAAAACCGGAAAGAAAAA